UUCCUCUCUCGAGACUCCGACAGGCUACCUUCAUCUCCGCAGUCGACUACGAUGCCGACGACUGCUAGGCCGCCUUCCUCAUCCGCUCCUCCUCCACUGGAUCCGAUCAGCGAUCGCUAUUGCUCCUCCGCCUGGUGUCUCGGAUGUCCCACAAUCAUCACCAUUGUUGACAUUUGGAGGAUUUUAGUUAUGAUCCUCUUUACGCCCUCAACUUCGACGACGCCUACCUCGCCGGAGAUCUAUCUAAUUGACAAUCCUGGCCUAGAGCGCUUCCGAAGUGGGUUAGGGUUCAUUGAUUCUGGGUAUCAAAUACUAUUUUCAAAGGAGAAGAUGAUGAUGGUGGAGAAGCUCUCUUCCUUAUAAGAUGAAGAAUAUGGUGAUCUGAUGAAAUACUCAUUUGCUUUUCUGCUUUAUACAACGAAAAGAGCACAAUUGAACUUGAGUUAAUGUUCAGUAAAUUAAAUUCAGGAAUUUCUAAAGCGGAUUCUUCUACUAUAAUUCUGAUACUCUGAAGGUGUGGUGUGGUGUUAAGGUCAUAUUAACCAGCCUCAGAGAAAUUUCUUUAGCCUUAGGAAUCUUUAGUUGUUCUUUGAAGGCUUUUGGUAUACUUUCCUUAAUUUGUGCCAAUGGUAUAUUUUCCUUAAUUUGUCACCUUUUGGAAACAUUAAAGAAGCUUUUAAUGGGUUGACGGCAUUGCCAUCUUAGUGGCUGGGUUAUCAUGUCCGGCCUUGGAUUAGUUGACUUAGUGCCUGUGGUUUCAAUUUGUAUCCUUUGUUGUGUGUGUAUACUGUGGCUUGUGGAUGUGGUGGGUAGAUGCCCAUGUUGCUUUCCGGUCUGCACAGUGAUGUAACCAUGUGGGAAAGCUGCCAUUCUGGCCUGCAGUAGUAAUCUUUCAAAUGUUUUAGUUGACCCUGUUACAGUAGGAUCAUUAAUUGCUUCUCUUAUUGGCCUCUUUUAAAUCUAUUUUGUUCUGUCUCUCAUUUCAACUUCUUUGAUUUGGUCAGUGGUGCUACGGUCAUUAAUCAUGUUCCAUUGCCACUAAGCUUCUGAAACUUGUACUAACAAACAGAUGAGUUUGGUGUAUUUAUAUUUAUAUAUUAUGCAUUACUUUACAGCCGGUACUUGUUGCAGAUUGAUACAAUUUUGUCUGGGACUGGUAGGUGUUUUUUUUCUUUCUACAUAGUGCAUAUUAAUGGUCUCUUAUUAUUUGUCAGUAUAAUCUAUUAGUGUGUUAUGCACUAUAAGAAAAGCAUUUGAAGCCUGUGAGGUGCUGAAUCUGCACAGCUUUGAGCACCGAGCCAAAUAGUUCUUGAUGACAUAUAGAACCUUGAUGUUAGCUAACCUUAUCUCCCUUACAUGAAUGGGGAACUUGUUUUAUGAGUGUUCAAGCGCUUUAGUGAUUUUAAUGUUGUCAUUAAGUUGCAUUUGCACAUUUUUGCAUCAUGUUGACAAACUUAUCGCUGUUGAUGACCAUUGUAUCUGAUUUGGUUCUCACUAUCAGUCUAAUGCAAGUAAUGGCUAAAUUGGGAAAAAAAAAACAAAGAUUAAUAACUUGUUUAAUCUUUUCUAUUUAUAUAUACAUAUAUAUAUAUAUAUAUAUAUAUAUUCAUCUUCUUAAUUUAGUUAUAGUAUAUUAUAUAAGAGUGUACUUUAAAUGAUUAAUUUUUUUAUAUGAUUUGGUGUUGUUCCAGAAUCUUCCUUUUGAUGAUUAAAAAAUUUGUUUUGUGAAGACCAAGGUUGCAAUUGCUGCUAAAAUUGGAGAUAUGGCUCCUGAAAAGCUCACUAAUCAGGCUGUUUAUUUCAUUGGAAUGGAUAUUACUUUAUGAAUUUAUAUAUAUAUAAUAACAUCUUAAAAUAAUAUAUAUAUAUAUAUAUAUAUAUAUAAGAUGAUGAAUUAACUUUGUUUAAUUAAUUAACAUGUAGCAACGAUUAUGUUAACAACUACUUGCAACCGUUCUUUGUAGAUAGCUAGUUACCGCAUGAUGAAUACGUAGACCUCUUGAUUUCCACUCUUGAUGGACAAUUGAGGGUAUUAAUUUUUUUUAAUUAAUUAAUUAUUUACAUUUUGUAUCACUUGCAGAAGGGUAUGACCCCUAUAGAAGCUAAUAAUUGCAUAUAUAUAUAUAAGGAAAAUUUGUGGUUUGGUUGGAGUUUAGUGACUUUUGUUACAGAGAGAUUUUAGAUUUCUCAUUUCUCAUGUGAGUCUUAAGUUUAAGUGCACGCUUUUUGUGAAAUGAUAUAGUACAGGCAAAUAUUUCCAUAUCUUUUAAUAAUUGGGAAGGGUUUUUUUGUCAUGUAGAUCUAUGUCUCAAUCGGAAGAUGAGCCCUCAUUAAUUAGGGUGCAAAAUCCCCAUUAUUUCAAAGCUUAUUGUUAUUUAUUUUCCAUGGAUUUUCAUUAAAACCACAAUCAAUAGUAUGGUGGAAGGGAAAAAAACAAAACAGAGCACUAUGUUGAUAAAUAUAAAAUUAUGAAUGCUUUUUAGCAUUAUGAUGUGUCUCUUUAAUCCUUAAAAGACCUUCAGAAUUUGUAGCUAUUCUAUUAUGUUCUUAUAAAUGUACCUAGAAACUGUUAUUUAUCCAGCUUCUAUAGAUCAUGAAUUAGUUCAUCUGAACCCAGACAUUUUUCAGUUGAUUGAUUGAUUCAUACUGCAUGUUUGAUGUAAUUUUGAUCUUGACCUUGAGAAUGAACUUAGAUAGUAUGAAUAACUUUUUGCAGCUUGAAGUACAUCAAACAUGCAGUAUUUUUAUAACUUUUUGCAGCUUGAAGUAAUUGGUGCAUGAGGAUUUUAUGAUGGGCAUGGUGAUGAUCAUCAUCUUUGAGGAGUGAAUGCAUGGCAGUAUGGGUUCCUAGAAAUAAGAGUUGGCCAGACAGGAUGAUAAGUGCUUGUGUGAUAAGAAUGCGAAGUGUUCUUUCCUUAUGAUGAGCAUUACUUUUAUCGAGUUUUAGUGCUAAUAUGUGUGUAUUUGUAU